CAUGCAAGUCGAACGAGAGAUGAGGAGCUUGCUCUUCAAAUCGAGUGGCGAACGGGUGAGUAACGCGUGAGGAACCUGCCUCAAAGAGGGGGACAACAGUUGGAAACGACUGCUAAUACCGCAUAAGCCCACGGCUCGGCAUCGAGCAGGGGGAAAAGGAGCAAUCCGCUUUGAGAUGGCCUCGCGUCCGAUUAGCUAGUUGGUGAGGUAAUGGCCCACCAAGGCGACGAUCGGUAGCCGGACUGAGAGGUUGAACGGCCACAUUGGGACUGAGACACGGCCCAGACUCCUACGGGAGGCAGCAGUGGGGAAUAUUGCACAAUGGGGGAAACCCUGAUGCAGCGACGCCGCGUGGAGGAAGAAGGUCUUCGGAUUGUAAACUCCUGUUGUUGAGGAAGAUAAUGACGGUACUCAACAAGGAAGUGACGGCUAACUACGUGCCAGCAGCCGCGGUAAAACGUAGGUCACAAGCGUUGUCCGGAAUUACUGGGUGUAAAGGGAGCGCAGGCGGGAGAACAAGUUGGAAGUGAAAUCCAUGGGCUCAACCCAUGAACUGCUUUCAAAACUGUUUUUCUUGAGUAGUGCAGAGGUAGGCGGAAUUCCCGGUGUAGCGGUGGAAUGCGUAGAUAUCGGGAGGAACACCAGUGGCGAAGGCGGCCUACUGGGCACCAACUGACGCUGAGGCUCGAAAGUGUGGGUAGCAAACAGGAUUAGAUACCCUGGUAGUCCACACCGUAAACGAUGAUUACUAGGUGUUGGAGGAUUGACCCCUUCAGUGCCGCAGUUAACACAAUAAGUAAUCCACCUGGGGAGUACGACCGCAAGGUUGAAACUCAAAGGAAUUGACGGGGGCCCGCACAAGCAGUGGAGUAUGUGGUUUAAUUCGACGCAACGCGAAGAACCUU
rnacentral:rRNA from 1 species